rnacentral:rRNA from 1 species
GACGAACGCUGGCGGCGUGCUUAACACAUGCAAGUCGAACGAAGAGCGAUGGAAGCUUGCUUCUAUCAAUCUUAGUGGCGAACGGGUGAGUAACGCGUAAUCAACCUGCCCUUCAGAGGGGGACAACAGUUGGAAACGACUGCUAAUACCGCAUACGAUCUAACCUUGGCAUCGAGGAUGGAUGAAAGGUGGCCUCUAUUUAUAAGCUAUCACUGAAGGAGGGGAUUGCGUCUGAUUAGCUAGUUGGAGGGGUAACGGCCCACCAAGGCGAUGAUCAGUAGCCGGUCUGAGAGGAUGAACGGCCACAUUGGGACUGAGACACGGCCCAGACUCCUACGGGAGGCAGCAGUGGGGAAUCUUCCGCAAUGGGCGAAAGUCUGACGGAGCAACGCCGCGUGAGUGAUGACGGCCUUCGGGUUGUAAAGCUCUGUUAAUCGGGACGAAAGGCCUUCUUGCGAAUAGUGAGAAGGAUUGACGGUACCGGAAUAGAAAGCCACGGCUAA